rnacentral:rRNA from 1 species
UCAAUAAGCGGAGGAAAAGAAACCAACAGGGAUUGCCCCAGUAACGGCGAGUGAAGCGGCAAAAGCUCAAAUUUGAAAUCCUGCGGGAAUUGUAAUUUGAAGGUUUCGUGGUCUGAGUCGGCCGCGCCCAAGUCCAUUGGAACAUGGCGCCUGGGAGGGUGAGAGCCCCGUAUGGCGCACGCCGACUCUUUGCACCGCGGCUCCGACGAGUCGAGUUGUUUGGGAAUGCAGCUCUAAGUGGGUGGUAAAUUCCAUCUAAAGCUAAAUAUUGGCGAGAGACCGAUAGCGAACAAGUACAGUGAUGGAAAGAUGAAAAGCACUUUGAAAAGAGAGUGAAACAGCACGUGAAAUUGUUGAAAGGGAAGGGCUUGCAAGCAGACACGGUUUUACCGGGCCAGCGUCGAAAAGGGGGGAGGAACAAGAACUCGAGAAUGUGGCGCGCACCUUCGGGCGCGCGUGUUAUAGCUCGUGUUGACGCCUCCAUCCCUUUUCGAGGCCUGCGAUUCUAGGACGCUGGCGUAAUGGUUGCAAGCCGCCCGUCUUGAAACACGG